GGGGAUUUAGCUCAGCGGUAGAGCACUUGCCUAGCAAGCACAAGGCCCUAGGUUCAAUCCCCA
rnacentral:tRNA from 1 species